CAUGGGUAGCAAACAGGAUUUGGUACCCUGGUAGUCCAUGCUGUAAACAAUAAAUAUUAAAUAUUUGAUCUGGUUAAACAUAUAAUUUUAUAUGGGAAGAAAAUCAUUUUAGAUUUUAACAUCAAAUAUUAAAAGUUAACACGUUAAAUAUUUCGCCUGGGGAGUAAAACCGCAAGGUUGAAACUCAAAGGAAUUGACGGGAGCUUAUACUUACGGUGGAGCAUGUGGUUUAAUCCGAUAGUCCGCGUGGAAUCUUACCAAUUUUUGACAGUUAUUUAGUUUUGAUUAAAUAAACAGGUGUUGCAUGGUCGUUGUCAGCUUAUGUUUUGAAAUUUUAUAAGUAUAACCCUUAAUUUAAUUUACUAAUAUUUAGAAAAAUUUUUAAACUAAAAAUUACUAAGUAAGUACUAUUAAAUUAGAAAUAUAAAAGUUUUUUUAUAUUUUAUGAGGAUGAAAAUAGAUCGUUAUGACCCUUAUAAAU
rnacentral:rRNA from 1 species